rnacentral:rRNA from 1 species
ACGGCUCACCAAGCCGACGAUCAGUAGCCGACCUGAGAGGGUGACCGGCCACAUUGGGACUGAGACACGGCCCAAACUCCUACGGGAGGCAGCAGUGGGGAAUAUUGCACAAUGGGCGAAAGCCUGAUGCAGCAACGCCGCGUGAGCGAAGAAGGCCUUCGGGUCGUAAAGCUCUAUCAGCAGGGAAGAAAAUGACGGUACCUGACUAAGAAGCCCCGGCUAACUAC